AGGAUCCAAUCGGAUGUAGAGGGAAUUGUCGGAGAGUGAUGGGCUGUGUGAGCAGCCGGAUAAGGCGGCGAAACGUAUGCUGGCCGCCGCAGUGGUCCACCGUAAGGAGGCUGAUUGGCGCCGGAGAUGGGAUAGGACGGACAACGGCGCACGGAGUAGCCAAAUUCACUGCAUAGCUGGCACUUCCCAUUGUACCCGCGAGAUUGGCCAUUGUUGGAGUAACUACUUCGUCCGGAGGAUGAACCACGGCUACCACGGCCGCGCCCGCGGCCACCGGAACGGUUACGAACGAACUGCUAUCCGGCGACGAAAGCAGCCAACGGAGCCAAAUCAGUGCGGCGGAGGAGGCCGGCGCACGAGCAGUAAGCUAAGGUUGGGCGUAUGGAUGUUAUUUUUGCUGCGAGUUUGCAUUGGAUGACCACCCUGAGAGGAUGAAGGUGGCGGCAUAGUGGGUGUAGCGGCGGCGGGGGCCGCUGGCGGUACCGUAAGAGGCGCUGGUGGCUCGGGCGUUGGCGCCGGCAGUGCGUCCGGUGAAGGAUCGCUAGUGGGAGCGGUGGCAGGUACUGGUGGAGGCAGCGGAAGGACUUCUAGGGUGACCGAAAUGGGUACGGGGUGGAGACUCGGGGUUAGACAAUUUGGAGAACGGGAAGAUAUCUUCAUGGAAGGUGACAUCACGCGAGACGAAGAUUUUAGACGUUGAGGGAUCAAAGCAUAGAUAUGCGCUUUGAGUAGAUGA
rnacentral:lncRNA from 1 species